AUCCAGAUGAAGAGUUUCAAAUGGGACGAAAUGCACAUCCUGGAU
rfam:Trichobilharzia regenti genome assembly, scaffold: TRE_scaffold0022670